UACAUGGGGUGCAAACGUUGCUCGGAAUUAUUGGGCGUAAAGCGCGCGUAGGCGGUUACUCAAGUCGGAUGUGAAAGCCCUCGGCUUAACUGAGGAAGUGCACCCGAAACUGAGUAGCUAGAGUACCAAAGAGGGUCGCGGAAUUCCCGGUGUAGAGGUGAAAUUCGUAGAUAUCGGGAGGAACACCUGCGGCGAAGGCGGGUUGCUGGGCCGACACUGACGCUGAUGCGCGAAAGCCAGGGGAGCGAACGGG
rnacentral:rRNA from 1 species